GGCUUAGAAGCAGCCAUCCUUGAAAGAGUGCGUAAUAGCUCACUGGUCAAGUGGUUCCGCGCCGACAAUGUAGCGGGGCUUAAGCACACCGCCGACGCCGCGGCAGUCCAUCGUGGUCCUAGCCUGUCCGUUGGGCGGGUUCAGGGGGUGGGCUGGGUAGGGGAGCGUCCCGCGUUGGGUGAAGUCUCGGGGUGACCCGGGGUGGACGGCGUGGGAGUGAGAAUGCAGGCAUGAGUAGCGAGAGGCGGGUGAGAAACCCGUCCGCCGAUUGACUAAGGGUUCCAGGGCCAGGUUUAUCCGCCCUGGGUUAGUCGGGUCCUAAGGCGAGGCCGACAGGCGUAGUCGAUGGACAACGGGUUGAUAUUCCCGUACCGGCGCUUGACCGUUCAAUGUUCGCCGGGGUGAUGCUAACCAUCCCCGAUCCUGUGUGUCUCUUUCGGGAGGCGUGUGGGGGAGGGCGUGGGGUCCGAGCCUGGGUGGGCAAGCGUGGUAACAGGUGUGACGCAGAGUGGUAGUCCAACCGUGUCGUAUGGCUGAGCACGGCUAAGGGUGCAGCCCGUCUCCCAGGUAAAUCCGGGGGGCGUUCGGGUCAGGCCUGAUGGGGACCGUUUGACGGGAAGUGGAUGAUCCUGUGCUGCCGAGAAAAGCAUCGACGUCAGGGCAAGCGCCGCCCGUACCCGAAACCGACACAGGUGGUCAGGUAGAGUAUACCGAGGCGUGCGAGUCAAUCGUGGUUAAGGAACUCGGCAAAAUGCCCCCGUAACUUCGGGAGAAGGGGGGCCCCGGUCUUGACGUCCCCGUGCGGGGCGGAGGGGUCGGGGCCGCAGAGUCCAGGGAGAAGCGACUGUUUAUCAAAAACACAGGUCCGUGCUAAGCCGCAAGGCGAUGUAUACGGACUGACGCCUGCCCGGUGCUGGAAGGUUAAGCGGACUGGUCAGCCCUUCGGGGUGAAGCUGGGAAGUUAAGCCCCAGUAAACGGCGGUGGUAACUAUAACCAUCCUAAGGUAGCGAAAUUCCUUGUCGGGUAAGUUCCGACCUGCACGAAUGGCGUAACGACUUCUCCGCUGUCUCGACCACGAGCUCGGUGAAAUUGCAGUACGAGUAAAGAUGCUCGUUUCGCGCAGCAGGACGGAAAGACCCCGGGACCUUUACUAUAGCUUGGUAUUGGUGUUCGGUACGGCUUGUGUAGGAUAGGUGGGAGACUGUGAACCGGUCACGCUAGUGGGCGGGGAGUCGUUGGUGAAAUACCACUCUGGCCGUGCUGACCAUCUAACCUCGGUCCGUGAUCCGGGCCAGGGACAGUGCCUGGUGGGUAGUUUAACUGGGGCGGUUGCCUCCUAAAGGGUAACGGAGGCGCUCAAAGGUUCCCUCAGCCUGGUCGGCAACCAGGUGGCGAGUGUAAGUGCACAAGGGGGCUUGACUGUGAGACUGACGGGUCGAGCAGGUACGAAAGUAGGAACUAGUGAUCCGGCGAUCCCGUGUGGG
rnacentral:rRNA from 1 species